AUGACCCAAAAAGGGGGCACGUGCGCAGUGGUCAGAAGCAACUGCUGCAUCUUUGUCCUUGGCAAUCUACAUGAAAUCUCUGCCUUAACCAGGAAGGUUCGAGACAUGAAUGAAGAGUGCUCUUUUCUGGACUUCCCUGGUAAUGCGAUGGAUAAGAAUCCGCCUGCAAAUGCAGGGGACAUGGGUUCAAUACCUGGUCCAGAAGGAUUCCACAUGCUGCUGAGAAAUGGAGUAUUUCCUGCCAUUAUCAGUAAAUAAGGAUGUCCCAGCCAUCAGCGACUCUGUCCCUCCAAAUGUUAAUUUCUGAGCUACAAGGGCACCCAGGAAGAACAGUACCUAUAAUCUGGCAGCCCUUAGGCUGCAGUCACUCCCAGUGGUGAGCCUUGAGGAACUAAGGAUAUUGACCCCAGAUAGCUGAGAUGCAAUGGAGAAGGCAAUGGCACCCCACACCAGCACUCUUGCCCGGAAAAUCCCAUAGACGGAGGAGCCUGGUGGGCCGCAGUCCAUGGGGUCGCUAAGAGUCGGACAUGACUGAGUGACUUCACUUUUCACUUUUCACUUUCAUGCAUUGAGAAGGAAAUGGCAACCCACUCCAGUGUUCUUGCCUGGAGAAUCCCAGGGACGGGGGAGCCUGGUGGGCUGCCGUCUAUGGGGUCGCACAGAGUCAGACACGACUGAAGCGACUUAGCAGCUGAGAUGCAUCUGAAAGGAAAGAUUUCAGUGACCCUAGACUCUUACAUCUUCCCCUACAUAGAAAAGUGCUAAAUUCCUCAACUUGAAAUAUCUGGUUUUACUUAAUUAAUAAUAAUCUUUAGAUGGUCAGACUACCUGCCCUGUUGCAAACUUCUAUAUAACCUGAUCCCCCACCCCCCACACACACACCCUCACACCACCCCCCCUCCUCAGACCUGUUCUCUCAGGGUCACUUGAGAUGCUGUCUCCCAUGCUUUAAGUCCUAAAAAUUCCCACCAAAUAAAACAUAACUCUCAAUUUUCAGGCUGUGACUAUUUUUAAGUCGACACUGCAGAGCAGCUAAGCCA
rnacentral:lncRNA from 1 species